rnacentral:rRNA from 1 species
UCUGUGAACUCCUACGGGAGGCAGCAGUGGGGAAUUUUGGACAAUGGGGGCAACCCUGAUCCAGCAAUGCCGCGUGAGUGAUGAAGGUCUUAGGAUUGUAAAGCUCUUUCACCGGAGAGGAUAAUGACGGUAUCCGGAGAAGAAGCCCCGGCUAACUUCGUGCCAGCAGCCGCGGUAAUACGAAGGGGGCUAGCGUUGUUCGGAAUUACUGGGCGUAAAGCGCACGUAGGCGGAUAUUUAAGUCAGGGGUGAAAUCCCAGAGCUCAACUCUGGAACUGCCUUUGAUACUGGGUAUCUAGAGUAUGGAAGAGGUGAGUGGAAUUCCGAGUGUAGAGGUGAAAUUCGUAGAUAUUCGGAGGAACACCAGUGGCGAAGGCGGCUCACUGGUCCAUUACUGACGCUGAGGUGCGAAAGCGUGGGGAGCAAACAGGAUUAGAAACCCGGGUAGUCCAUCAGCG